UACGGGGGGAGCAAGCGUUGUUCGGAUUUACUGGGCGUAAAGGGCGCGUAGGCGGCGCAACAAGUCACUUGUGAAAUCUCCGGGCUUAACCCGGAGCGGCCAAGUGAUACUGUCGUGCUAGAGUGCGGAAGGGGCUACUGGAAUUCUUGGUGUAGCGGUGAAAUGCGUAGAUAUCGAGAGGAACACCUGCGGUGUAGACAGCUUACUGGACCACUUCUGACGCUGAGACACGAAAGCGUGGGUAGCAAACAGG
rnacentral:rRNA from 1 species